AACAGGCAGUCCCCAUGGUCGGGCGCCGUCCCCGCGGCCGGGGACUGGCCCAGUGCGGCAGCCGGGUCCCCCGACCCCUUUUGACUACCUAGGCCGCGCAGGGUCCCCCCGGGGCAGCCCACUAGCAGAGGGGCCCCAGGCCUUCUUCCCGGAGCGAGGACCUUCCCCACGCCCGCCCGCUGCAGCCUAUGACACAUCGGCCACGUUCGGGAGCCCUCUGCUGGGCGCGGGUGGCAGUGCCUUCGCCCCGCCACUUCGCGCACAAGAUGACUCGACGCUGCGCCGGAGGCCCCCGAAAGCCUGGAACGAGUCUGACCUGGAUGUAGCCUACGAGAAAAAGUCUUCACAGACAGCAAGCUAUGAAC
rnacentral:lncRNA from 1 species